rnacentral:rRNA from 1 species
UUGCCAGACUCCUACGGGAGGCAGCAGUGAGGAAUAUUGGUCAAUGGGCGGAAGCCUGAACCAGCCAAGUCGCGUGGGGGAAGAAGGCCCUGCGGGUCGCAGACCUCUUUGGACGGGGAGCAAGGCCGCCGACGUGUCGGCGGAAGGAGAGUACCCGGAGAAAAAGCAUCGGCUAACUCCGUGCCAGCAGCCGCGGUAAUACGGAGGAUGCGAGCGUUAUCCGGAUUUAUUGGGUUUAAAGGGUGCGUAGGCGGGCAUUUAAGCCGGCGGUCAAAUGUCGGGGCUCAACCCCGGCCUGCCGUCGGAACUGGGUGCCUUGAGUGGGCGAGAAGUAUGCGGAAUGCGUGGUGUAGCGGUGAAAUGCAUAGAUAUCACGCAGAACCCCGAUUGCGAAGGCAGCAUACCGGCGCCCUACUGACGCUGAGGCACGAAAGUGCGGGUAUCGAACAGGAUUAGAUACCCGUAC